rnacentral:pre_miRNA from 1 species
CGUAUAUUUGAUAAGCUGAAUUUGACACUCAUUUGUGGUAGAGUGUCAGUUUAUCAAAUAUUCUAA